GACGAACGCUGGCGGUAUGCUUAACACAUGCAAGUCGAACGAGAAGUUUUUUAUUGACCCUUCGGGGGAUAUAAGAGACAGACAGUGGCGAACGGGUGAGUAACGCGUGGGCAACCUACCUAUCGGAGCGGGAUAGCCUCGAGAAAUCGGGAGUAAAACCGCAUAACACAGCAGAAUCGCAUGACUUUGCUGUCAAAACUCCGGUGCCGAUAGAUGGGCCCGCGUCUGAUUAGCUAGUUGGUAAGGUAAGGGCUUACCAAGGCAACGAUCAGUAGCCGGUCUGAGAGGGCGAACGGCCACACUGGAACUGAGACACGGUCCAGACUCCUACGGGAGGCAGCAGUGGGGAAUAUUGCGCAAUGGGGGCAACCCUGACGCAGCAAUACCGCGUGAGUGAAGAAGGUUUUCGGACCGUAAAGCUCUGUUAUUGGGGAAGAAACAGUGACGGUACCCAAUGAGGAAGUCCCGGCUAACUACGUGCCAGCAGCCGCGGUAAUACGUAAGGGACGAGCGUUGUCCGGAAUCACCGGGCGUAAAGGGCGCGUAGGCGGUUUUAUAAGUCAGAUGUGAAAGGUACCGGCUCAACCGGUGACGUGCAUUUGAAACUGUAAGACUUGAGUACUGAAGAGGCAAGCGGAAUUCCUAGUGUAGCGGUGAAAUGCGUAGAUAUUAGGAAGAACACCGGUGGCGAAGGCGGCUUGCUGGGCAGAUACUGACGCUGAGGUGCGAAAGCGUGGGGAGCGAACAGG
rnacentral:rRNA from 1 species